rnacentral:misc_RNA from 1 species
GAUAAACAAGACUAACCACAGGCCUGCAGAUUAAACAAAUUAAGCAAAUUAGAAAUUAGUUAAUAAAGAAUCAUAUACUCACCACGGACAACUCAUCGUUUUUAAUUCAUCUUUAUAAUCAACCCUUUUUUUAGAUAAAAACAAAAAAAAAUUGAAAAAUCAAAUUAAGUGUUCUAUUGAUCUCAGUAGCUAAAAGUUUAAUUUUUCUUUCCCUUUUAUCAUUUUUGCCAGCAAACUGUUAAAAUUAUCUAGUUGUCCAAGAAAAUCCCUCUUUUUACUACUACCUUAAUGAAACUCCGGGCCUAUUGCUGCCUUUGCCUUUGUUAAGCAAUUGGAUUCAAUCGAAUAGGUAAAAUAGGCACAAUGAGAAGGAGGAGGAGAAGAGUGAUAAAGAAACGCACCCAGCAAGAACAUCAAAGUUCUU